rnacentral:lncRNA from 1 species
GGAAAAUUAAGUCAUUUCCUGACUUAUUCCUACCAAAUUCACCUGGCUCAGCGACCGACAGUCCUGCAGGGAAUACCCUUGGCAGCCGUGAACUUCCACGUUCCUGGUCCCGCAGCGUCCUAGCGGAACCCCGUUCACAGCCGGGGCUCGCGACUUUCCGAGAUUUCUCCUCCACGCUUUUGUCUGGAGUCUAGAGACACAUCCCCUAAAGGGCAUGGUGUGCUCCCAGCUACCCAGACUCCGGCGAGGCCACAGUGGCCGGGAAGUAGAAGGCUUCAGGUGUAUUUGUCAGCCAAGAUCUUCAAAGUCCGGCCGUGAGUGGCGCCAAUAGCCUCCGACAGCCUGUGUUGCCCAAGGGACGUGCGUGGGCGUCCCGUUUAGUCACCACACUUGCUUGUCCUCUAUUUCCCAGCAAGCCCCACGCCUUGCCGCUGCUGCCUCUUUAAUCUCUUCUCCCUUGGGGCCUGUCGCCACCUGUCAUGUGCUUUGCCGCCAUCACCCCCCCCCCCGCCCCCCUGCCCCAGGAGCCACGUCCCUGCCACCACGUCGUCUGUCGGCCAGCUCUCUCUCCUCUCCUGGAGACCUUCCCUGGCUAAUGGUUACUCCUUUCCCCCCAUCUACCCUCCCCAGAGCCCUUUCCAGGCCCUGUCCUGGGCCCCUGCGGCGGCCUGUCUCUCCCCUUGGUGGCCCUCUGUCAGGCUGAAGUCACUUGCCAAUCCACACUGUCUUCCAGAGGCUACACGGCCUGACCCCAUCCCCCUCAGUCCUGCACUCCCAGCCCCUAAUGCGGGCACGAGGUACAAAUGGAGUCCUACAACAUGACAGCCAUGACCAAUUCCAAGAACACCGCUUUGUGCUGAGACGCCGAAUGAUGCAGAGCAGAAUGAUGCACUAAAAACGACCAAAUACGGACCUCCCGGCUUAUCCACACAGCUGACUUUUCCAGAACACCCUGCAUGGCUUUCGAGUGGAAGAUCAGGAAAUGAGACAAAUCUUAAUCUCAAAACUGGAUGGGGGCGCUCGGUCGGUUAAGUGGGUGACUCUUGGUUUCCGCUCAGGUCAUGAUCUCACAGUUUGGUGAGUUUCAGCCCCGCGUCAGGCUCCACGCCGGCGGAGACCGUGAGGAGCCUGCUUGGGAUUCCCUUCCUCUCCCUGUCUUUCUGCCCCUCCCCCACUUGCACUGUCUCGGUCGCUCUUACAAUAAAUAAACAAACUUAAAAAAAAAGAACUGGAUG